UACGUAGGGGGCGAGCGUUGUCCGGAAUUAUUGGGCGUAAAGAGCUCGUAGGCGGUCUGUCGCGUCGGCUGUGAAAACUCGGGGCUCAACUCCGAGCUUGCAGUCGAUACGGGCAGGCUAGAGUUCGGCAGGGGAGACUGGAAUUCCUGGUGUAGCGGUGAAAUGCGCAGAUAUCAGGAGGAACACCGGUGGCGAAGGCGGGUCUCUGGGCCGAUACUGACGCUGAGGAGCGAAAGCGUGGGGAGCGAACAGG
rnacentral:rRNA from 1 species